GACGAACGCUGGCGGCGUGCUUAACACAUGCAAGUCGAACGAAGUGGCGAACGGGUGAGUAACGCGUAAUCAACCUGCCCUUCAGUGGGGGACAACAGUUGGAAACGACCGCUAAUACCCCAUACUGACGGUGGGGAUUGCGUCGGAUUAGCUAGUUGGAGGGGUAACGGCCCACCCAGGCGAUGAUCAGUAGCCGGUCUGGGAGGAGGAACGGGCACAUUGGGACUGGUGCACCGGCCAGACUCCGACGGGAGGCAGCAGUGGGGGAUCUUCCGCAAUGGACGAAAGUCUGACGGAGCAACGCCGCGGGAGUGAUGACGGCCUUCGGGUUGGAAAGCUCUGUUAAUCGGGACGCGGUACCGGAAUAGAAAGCCACGGCUAACUACGUGCCAGCAGCCGCGGUAAUAC
rnacentral:rRNA from 1 species